UACGUAGGGUGCAAGCGUUGUCCGGAAUUUAUUGGGCGUAAAGAGCUCGUAGGCGGUCUGUCGCGUCGGCUGUGAAAACCCGGAGCUCAACUCCGGGCCUGCAGUCGAUACGGGCAAACUGGAGUACUGCAGGGGAGACUGGAAUUCCUGGUGUAGCGGUGAAAUGCGCAGAUAUCAGGAGGAACACCGGUGGCGAAGGCGGGUCUCUGGGCAGUAACUGAUGCUGAGGAGCGAAAAGCGUGGGGGAGCGAACAGG
rnacentral:rRNA from 1 species